CCGAAGGGCGCUCACACCAGUUUAUAAGCCCGUCCCUCUAUGCCUUGUUGAGCUUCUCUUAAAAUGAAAAUAGAUGCCCUUAUACAUGGAAUUUCACCUAAAUUCAUAGUAAAUUUGAAAUUUAUUAUGAAUUUAGGUUUAAUUUUCUCUAUAAGCGCAUCUAUGUUCAUUUUCUUAUAUUUAUAAAAUAAAUAAACCUUAAUAAAAUAAAUAAAACUAAAUAAACCUUAAUAAAAUAAGAUAAAAUAAACUAUAGUAACUACAAUAAAUAAACCUUAAUAAAUUAAGUAAAAAUAGCAGCAGUAAAAUAAAUAAAAAUAGCAGCAGUAAAAUAAAUAAAAAUAAAAUAAUUAAAGUAAAAUACAUAAGUAAUUAGAAAUAAAAUAAAUAAGUUUUUUUUUGUAAGUAGAAACAAAACAAAACAAAUAAAGCAAAAGAGAAAAAAAAAUACGAGCCAUCAACUCCAUAACCGCCAUAUCUGGGAUAGAGAAGGGCGAUCCCUUGGAGUGGGAUUCACACACAGUUGCCCGUAACAUCUACCAUUCGAGCCUAGCAGGUGGAACUCGGAUCUGUCAACAGUGUCAAAGCGGCAAAUAGCAGGCGGAGGAGAAGCCACCGAUGUCAUGUGUAGAUCCCUUCUAGGUCUUGCGGAUCGUGCUAUUACAGCAAUUUGGUUGGUUGAUCCCAAAAAAAGGAAUUUGGUUGGUUUUCUUGAAGCCCUAGCUUGUUGGGCCGUCCUAUUCUCUCAAUGCAAUUUAGCAAAUGCUACUACAGUACAAUAAAGGGCACAAAGAAAAAGCACGCAGUGAAGGAAAAUACCUCCAUAUCAAAGCUGCUACUUAUCUUGUUGGUUAUCAGGAUGUGGAUAUGUAGAAUUUUCUCUAGCCACGGCAACAGACAUGCAUUCAUCGAGGGGGUUCACUACAGAACAAAAUAAAUGCUGACGUUAGUUGUUGAGGGUACGUUUGACAUCCCUGAGAGACUGGAUAAUGAAAAGAUGAAUUGUCAAACCUGGAUGAACAAAGACGCUACCAAGUGGAUGAAUCUGAUGGCCUGUCCUCCCUUGAAGAUCAUGCGUCCUCCCUUGAAGGCGCCACCAGGGCCAUGGAUGCCUCAUACACCGCCGUCGACGUGUUGUAGUGAUGAGGUAUGGUGCAGGAUCUGACACAGGAUCACCUUCAGGCAAGAUGAAUAGGUCUUCAGGGGCACGACGGCAGCGGCGACGCCAUGGCCGGGACUGGUGACGACGGCGGCGGCGAGCGAGCGGGAGGGUGGCGGCGGCUGCGUGCGAGUGGGAGGUCGGAGGAUCACCACUCAUUGUGUUCGACAUAUCACUACAAGAAACCUGUUAAUCCAUGACGGAUUUCUAAUGAUAUUUUUGGAAACUCUCAUCGAUGACCUGGUAAAACCCCACAAGCCCGGUGAAAGCCCGCUAAAGCCCGUCUAACCGUUCCCGUAUAAAAACUUAACCCUAAAUUCCCUCCUCGACCCCUCCUCUAUGUCCCUCCUUGGCCCCUGCAUCGUGUCCCACAGCACGUCGCCACCCCUCGUCCCUCCCACAGCUCGUAAACCUUAAUAAAAUAAAAUAAACUAUAGUAACUACAAUAAAUAAACCUUAAUAAAUUAAGUAAAAAUAGCAGCAGUAAAAUAAAUAAAAA
rnacentral:lncRNA from 1 species